AGAAAACAUGGAAAUAUUUCUGAAUCCAUUCUUGGUUGGAUGAUUGGAGGGAAGUAGAGGGGACGGAAGAGAGAAAAAGGGUGAGGGGGUAUAAAUGAGGUUUAAGUGGGAUACAUUAUUUUUCUAUUAUUUUUCUUUUAUUUUUCUGUGGCAAGGCCAUACAGUCUCAAAUUCUAAAUAAUGAAGUAUAUAUACGGAGUACGUCGUAUUGCGAAAAUUCUUCAGUGCAUGGAAUUUAUGGUGGGACCCAGUACAUUCUCAGCCAGACAGAUGGUGCUUGGACCCCCCUUUUAUUUUCUACUCCGUAAUAUUUUGAUAAAUAUAAUUUCUGAAAUUCAUUUCUAUGAUACGGAGUACUUGUACGGAGUAAUAAUUUAGAAAAUUCAGGAAAAUUCUCUAUAGAAAUUCAUGAAAAAAAAGUUACAGUGAUCAAAAAUUUCUGAGUAAUAACCCAGAUAUCAUUUCUACGAACAAUGAGAGAGAAACACCAUUGGCGAUUUGGCGCCGCACAACACUCCAGGCCUCCGAUUUCGUUCUCCGGCCAUUACGCCCAACGGCGAGUGAAACCCUGAAAUCCUGAAGGUUAGUCGAAUAUGAAGGUGGAGCGGAUAAUUUUUGCUGACGGAUUCCGAAAAGUUCAAGACCAUGAUCGAUGAAAAAGAUUGAUCAUUGAUUUCAACAUUUAACUUCUAGUCAUGGGUUUAGCUUUCAUAUGGUAUUCUAUUUUAUUAUUGUUAUAAAUGAAUGACCUUUUAGGCUUUAAUGUUGAUUUGUAUGACAA